UACAGAGGUCCCGAGCGUUGUUCGGAUUCACUGGGCGUAAAGGGUGCGUAGGUGGCCUGAAAAGUUUGAUGUGAAAGCUCAGGGCUUAACCCUGAAAUGGCAUUGAAUACUGUCGGGCUGGAGGUUUGGAGGGGGGACUGGAAUUCUUGGUGUAGCAGUGAAAUGCGUAGAUAUCAAGAGGAGCACCAGUGGCGAAGGCGAGUCCCUGGACAACACCUGACACUGAGGCACGAAAGCUAGGGGAUCAAACAGG
rnacentral:rRNA from 1 species